UACGGAGGGUGCGAGCGUUAAUCGGAAUUACUGGGCGUAAAGCGCACGCAGGCGGUUUGUUAAGCUAGAUGUGAAAGCCCCGGGCUCAACCUGGGAUGGUCAUUUAGUACUGGCAGACUAGAGUCUUGGAGAGGGGAGUGGAAUUCCAGGUGUAGCGGUGAAAUGCGUAGAUAUCUGGAGGAACAUCAGUGGCGAAGGCCACUCCCUGGCCAAAGACUGACGCUCAUGUGCGAAAGUGUGGGUAGCGAACAGG
rnacentral:rRNA from 1 species